rnacentral:rRNA from 1 species
UGGGGAAUUUUGCACAAUGGGGGAAACCCUGAUGCAGCGACGCCGCGUGAUUUAGAAGGCCUUCGGGUUGUAAAAAUCUUUUGUAUGGGAAGAAAAUGACAGUACCAUACGAAUAAGGACCGGCUAAUUACGUGCCAGCAGCCGCGGUAAUACGUAAGGUCCGAGCGUUGUCCGGAAUCAUUGGGCGUAAAGGGUACGUAGGCGGAUAAGCAAGUUAGAAGUGAAAUCCUAUAGCUCAACUAUAGUAAGCUUUUAAAACUGCUCAUCUUGAGGUAUGGAAGGGAAAGUGGAAUUCCUAGUGUAGCGGUGAAAUGCGUAGAUAUUAGGAGGAAUACCGGUGGCGAAGGCGACUUUCUGGACUUUUACUGACGCUCAGGUACGAAAGCGUGGGGAGCAAACAGG